rnacentral:rRNA from 1 species
UACGUAGGGACCAAGCGUUGUUCGGAUUUACUGGGCGUAAAGGGCGCGUAGGCGGCAAUUCAAGUCAGCUGUGAAAUCUCCGAGCUUAACUCGGAACGGUCAGCUGAUACUGCUUUGCUAGAGUGCAGAAAGGGCAAUCGGAAUUCUUGGUGUAGCGGUGAAAUGCGUAGAUAUCAAGAGGAACACCUGAGGCGAAGGCGGGUUGCUAGGCUGACACUGACGCUGAUGCGCGAAAGCCAGGGGAGCGAACGGG